ACGCUUAUGUUUUUCUAGUAUGUUUUCUCUCUUUAUUUGCUUUCUUUUGGCAAUUUUUGACAAAAAGGGGGAGAGCAUAGAUGAAGGGGGAGAGCAUGGAUGAACAGGCGAUGAACUAAGCAGAGGUUGAUGAGUUCAAGAACAUAGGGGGAGAUGUGUUCGAGACGUGAAGAACAAAGGGCGAGAAGGUAUAAGAAUUUAGUGCUAAUCAAUUUUGAGUUUAGUGUUUUGCAGGAAAUCAAGACUUCAAGACUCCUAGUUGUGUCUAAGUCAUAGAGUCUGUUUUAGGAAUUUUGAUGUAAUUUUGAGUUUCAAAUUGUAUUUGGAUUACACGCGAGGGGUUCGAUGUUUUGGUGAUGACAUUGAACUUCGUUUUUCUUUAAAUUGUAAUUUGUGUUUUUGUGUGUGUUUUGUCACGAAAUUGCCAAAGGGGGAGAUUGUUAGGUCCUAUGUGUUGGCAAGUUUCGUGGGUCGAGUCGGAGUCUUGAAGAAGUUCGGAGCGGAGUAUUGAAGAUCGAAGAAUCCAAGACUUCGAAGAAUCGGAAAGGAUGCAAAACACGUAAAACAUGAAUCACGAUGCGUAGGUAAGCUUUAAAUCUUGUUUAUGGUGAUUCAUACUUAAUUAUAGAUCUUAGAAUCAUGUUUUCAAGUUAUAAUUGAUUAGAAAGUUUCUAAGAGUUUGUAAAAUCCAAAACAAUGCAUUUUCAGCGAAAAUUGCAUUGCUGUACCGGUACAAGGCUUUUCUGUCCAGGGUACAGCCAUCAACGUUCGCGCAGAAGUUUGAUGGUUGUUCCGGUACAAGCUUCAUGCUGUACCGGUACAAGCCCUGUUCCGGAACAAGCAACAGCCUAUCCAGGGUACAGGAGCUUCGCAGAAAAAUCUUCCGUCAU
rnacentral:lncRNA from 1 species